rnacentral:rRNA from 1 species
UACGAGGGGGGCAAGCGUUGUACGGAAUUAUUGGGCGUAAAGGGUGCGUAGGCGGUUUUGUAAGUCUUGUGUGAAAUCUUCAGGCUCAACUUGAAGACUGCACGAGAAACUGCAGGGCUUGAGUGUGGGAGAGGUGAGUGGAAUUCCUGGUGUAGCGGUGAAAUGCGUAGAUAUCAGGAGGAACACCUGUGGCGAAAGCGGCUCACUGGACCACAACUGACGCUGAUGCACGAAAGCUAGGGGAGCAAACAGG